GGCGGAUUAGUGAAAUGGUAUCAUGCUGGUUUCCUUAGCCAGAGUUUGGGGUUCGAUUCCCUAGUCCGCAAUUCCGCA
rnacentral:tRNA from 1 species